GGUGUCACAGUUCCUUCAAGCAUCCUUGGCAUCCAUCCGUUGCUUUUUAUAAGAGUGUUGCAGAUGAGCCAGUGGUGUUUUCCUCCAGAUGUCUCUCCCCCUUGCAAAGGAUACAGGGAUGAGGAUUGGCAGGAUAAUGAUGGAGCACUCAACACCAUAUCCACUACUCACCCUCGUAUCCCAAUCGAACAUCCAAGUUGUAACGUUGCAAAUGAUUCUGAAUGUCUACCCUUGCAGCCAGGAAUCUGGUACUACAAGAUUGUGGAAGCAGAUCAUAUUUUUUUCAUUGUGAACCGAGAAAGAGCAGGAGUUCAGUUUGAUCUCAUAUAUGAUAGCAUCUUUGAACGUUGCAGAAAGCAUG
rnacentral:misc_RNA from 1 species